rnacentral:rRNA from 1 species
UACCAGCUCUCCGAGUGGUGUGGAUGUUUAUUGGGCCUAAAGCAUCCGUAGCUGGCUGGGCAAGUCCCCUGUUAAAUCCACCGAUUUAAUCGUUGGUGUGCGGGGGAUACUGUUCGGCUAGGGGACGGGAGAGGCCGACGGUAUUUUCGGGGUAGGGGUGAAAUCCUAUAAUCCCGGGAAGACCACCAGUGGCGAAGGCUGUCGGCUAGAACGCGCCCGACGGUGAGGGAUGAAAGCUGGGGGAGUGAACCGGAUUAGAUACCCGGGUAGUCCCAGCUGUAAACGAUGCAGGCUAGGUGUUUGGGCGGCCACGUGCCGCUCUAGUGCCGCAGAGAAGUCGUUAAGCCUGCCGCCUGGGGAGUACGGCCGCAAGGCUGAAACUUAAAGGAAUUGGCGGGGGAGCACCACAAGGGGUGAAGCUUGCGGUUU